GACGAACGCUGGCGGCGUGCUUAACACAUGCAAGUCGAACGGUAAGGCCCUUCGGGGUACACGAGUGGCGAACGGGUGAGUAACACGUGGGUGAUCUGCCCUGCACUUCGGGAUAAGCUUGGGAAACUGGGUCUAAUACCGGAUAGGACCACGGUCUGCAUGGAUUGUGGUGGAAAGCUUUUGCGGUGUGGGAUGGGCCCGCGGCCUAUCAGCUUGUUGGUGGGGUGAUGGCCUACCAAGGCGACGACGGGUAGCCGGCCUGAGAGGGUGUCCGGCCACACUGGGACUGAGAUACGGCCCAGACUCCUACGGGAGGCAGCAGUGGGGAAUUUUGGACAAUGGGGGCAACCCUGAUCCAGCAACGCCGCGUGAAUGAAGAAGGCCUUAGGGUUGUAAAGUUCUUUUGUCUGGGGACAAGAGCCACUGGGUAAUAUACAGUGGAGAUGAGGGUACCAGAAGAAUAAGCACCGGCUAACUACGUG
rnacentral:rRNA from 1 species